CCUACGGGUGGCUGCAGUAGGGAAUCUUUCACAAUGGGCGAAAGCCUGAUGGAGCAACGCCGCGUGCAGGAUAAAGGCCUUCGGGUUGUAAACUGCUUUUAUAAGCGAGAAAUAUGAUGGUAACUUAUGAAUAAGGAUCGGCUAACUACGUGCCAGCAGCCGCGGUCAUACGUAGGAGCCGAGCAUUAUCCGGAGUGACUGGGUGUAAAGAGUUGCGUAGGUGGCAUAAUAAGUAGCUAGUGAAAUCUGGUGGCUCAACCAUUCAGACUAUUAGCUAAACUGUUUAGCUCGAGACCGUUAGGGGGAACUGGAAUUUCUAGGGUAGGAGUGAAAUCCGUAGAUAUUAGACGGAACACCAAUGGCGUAGGGAGGUUGCUGGGACGGUUCUGACACUAAGGCACGAAAGGGUAGGGAGCAAACGGGAUUAGAUACCCUGGUAGUC
rnacentral:rRNA from 1 species